GCUCCCAGCCGGUACCUACUUUUUUACACAUGGGCAUAUCAGACCACAGCAUUGUCCUAAAUCUUUUAAAUCUUUCUCGGCCUCCUUCAGGUCUGCGUUGACCUUGUUCAUGCCCUCUUCGACACGAUCAAGUUGUUCUGCAGAUUUGUGUCCUUCCUCCAUCCAAAUGGACCUGUCCUUCACACACUAUCAGGGAACAUAACGACCGCUCUGCAAGGUUUCCUGAGCUGCAGUGAAAACGGAUCCUGGUCCUUUUUUUCUCUCCCCCUUUUCUCCCCAACUGUACCCGUCCACGUACCCCACUGUUCCGAGCCGUCCCGGUCGCUGCUCCACUCCCUCCGCCGAUCCGGGGAGGGCUGCAGACUACCACAUCGCCAGCUGCUUCUUUUCACCUGACAGUGAGGCGUUUCGCCAGGGGGACGUAGCAUGUGGGAGGAUCUCGCUAUCCCCCCCCCAAACAGGUGCCCCGGCGGACCAGAGGAGGCGCUAGUGCAGCGAC